rnacentral:rRNA from 1 species
GGGGGCCCUCCCUCUGGGGGGACAGCGAGGCCACGCGCCGACGGCCCAUGAAACUCUUGUUUUUACCGAGUAACUUCUGAGUAAAGCUUCUAAAUGAAUCAAAACUUUCAACAACGGAUCUCUUGGUUCUGGCAUCGAUGAAGAACGCAGCGAAAUGCGAUAAGUAAUGUGAAUUGCAGAAUUCAGUGAAUCAUCGAAUCUUUGAACGCACAUUGCGCCCUCUGGUAUUCCAGAGGGCAUGCCUGUUCGAGCGUCAUUUCAACCCUCAAGCUCUGCUUGGUGUUGGGGCAUUACCCGGCCGCUUCUGCGGGACGGUAAGCCCUGAAAUUCAGUGGCGAGCUCGCCAGGACUCCGAGCGUAGUAGUUAAACCCUCGCUUUGGACUGUACUGGCGCGGCCUAGCCGUAAAACCCCCAACUUCUGAAAAUUUGACCUCGGAUCAGGUAGGAAUACCCGCUGAACU